AUUUGUAGGCUACUCAAGAACCAGAGUUCGGUCGAAUUCAUAAACUCACCUCUCGAUUCCCAAAAGAAUUAACCCCUUUGUAGUUGUACUCUUUCCAAACCCAAUCUGAUGUACUCGUCGGGACAAAAUCGGGUUUACGUCAACAUCUUCGUCCAAAGACUCUUUCAUCAUCCCUGGUCGAAGAGGGACAAGCUGUUGACACCCAAUUUUGGCCCUCCUUUCUCGUUUAAUUAAUUUCACUAUGCUUCUCAGUCGUGAAAAUUCCCCAGAAAUAAGUUUGGAAUAUUUUCAUUAAUUACUACACUAUUUUUAAGAUAUUAUUUCUCUAAAACAAAGAAAGAUUUCUAUCGCUUCUUAAAAAUCACCAAACAUCAUUAUUUUUUAUAUAUAUAAUUAAAAAAAAUUACUAAACAUCAUUCUUUACAAUUAAACCACUCAAAAAUAGUGUUGAUAUUCGUAUAUCAAUAUCGGCAUUGGCGUUUUUUCUUUAAUCCUAUUUAUUACUAUAUUAAUCAUCUUCUUACUUUAUUUUAAAAAACUAAAUACGUAUAUUAAAUUACUUGCAUUAGAAUUUAUAUAGGUGUACAUUUUGUGGGAAUUAUUUAGGACAAAGAAGCAUAUUUUAAUUAAUUGAUUAAAGUAAAAGGGGAUGAGAUAUUAAUUCACCUACAUAAUAUUGGGUCAAUUCCCUUUCCCCCUAUCCACCAACCCGGCCCAAUCAUCUAUACACUCAAUCCCUAGAACUAAAUAACCCCUCUUCUCUCUAACAGCCCUAACCAAAUGAUCCCUAUCACUUCCGUCACUUCACUUCACCACCACCAUGCCCAUCGGACCGCUGCACAAACGCAGUCGCUGCCUCCACUACCACCACGUCCCCUUUUUCCUCUGAUUGACGUGGUGGCAGAACUGAAAAGAGCUAGCAAUAAAGUCAUUUCAACCCCUGUAGAAGAGGAAUGCGAUGAACCUCCGGUUUCAAGCUUGAAUCUCCUUCGAUUCAGUGGGUAAUACAGAAAUCGAUCAUAUUAUACCCCAACAGCUCUUCUUCUCUCAAAUCGAAACUGAAAAGUUCUCGGCUGAGGAAGGACCACUUCGAGCGGAUUCGGAGAUUCGACAAUUACAAUAGCCUCAGUUCGCUGUCCCGGAGAAGGUUAGUAAUCGACCUAAAAUUUCUUCUCAUUUCAGUUCUUAGAUAAAUAUGUAGUUGCUUCGAGGUUAUCGUCGUUCGUUUAUUUUAUGUUUUAAGUGUAUAAUUAGAACCUGUAAAUCUUGUUUCCUUCUUUAGUUUUCUGUUUAAAGGGUGUUAGAAUCUGCUUCUCGUUAUUUUGAUGAAAGAUCAGUAGGUAAAACUUAAAACAAAGGAAUUACGACGUUUAUGAAGGAAACUACUCAUUUGCACAAGUUUGAACUAAUCGAAACUCGCUGACGUUGGAGUAACGUUAUUGCUUAUAAAUCUUUUACUUCAUUGCUCAGAAAAGGUUAUUGUUUUCCCUGCCUGCUCUACUCUUCGAAAUUUGGAAUUUUGAGUGUGUUGAGAUGCAAGAAUAUGUCGCCAGUUAUAUUUUUUAGACAUGUUGUAAAUAGCCUAGUCUUCAAGUUCUUUUAAAGAAAUAGAAUGCUCGAAUAAAUUAUCAAGAGACUCUGUCUUUCCUCUACUAGCAGACAUCGUGCUCGUUAGAUAUUAAAAUGUGAAUGUUUGUUUUGUUUCGUGACCAUAGAAAACCAUAAUUUAGCAUAUUAUUUUACCAUGUUUGUAGUUGAGGUCAUAGUUUAGUUAAUUAGAUAAUAGAUUAUUGCAGAUCCAUAACGAGAAGAAUAUUUUGUGUGUAUCUGUCAUCUCUUUUCUUUGCCAUGUCCAUGAGACUUUCUUAACUUAAGAUGAUUCUUGUUUAUCGAUUUUCUGAAGUUUUUCAUAGUUAACUAAAUAUGAUUUAUACGUUAGAAAGCUACAUUUGUUCCGAAAAAGAAAGUUACUGUUUUCUGGUCAAAAAGUUACUAUUUUGAUGGGAGAAAAAGGUUACUAUUUUGAUUAGAGAAAAGGAUACUAUUUUGAUUAAAAAAAAAACCUUACUGUUUUGAUUAGGGAAAAGUUACUUGUCUUGAAAGUAAAACUUACCGAUUCGUGAAAAUUAAAUUCGUCAAAUCUGUGUUUGACUUCAUCGUUUGGCUAAUUUCUCUGUUUGCGAGUUGCUCUCGUUAUAUGGCUAACUAAGUUAGUAAUCAUCUUCGUCCUCGUCUUACAUUUCAUUUUCGGGUUAUCAAACUAAAAGGAAAACGUAGUGAUGUUUCUUAUUAUUUAUUCAGUUAUGUUUGUUUGAACCUGCUUGUCUUCUGUUUGUUAUUAGAAUGGUUGAGAUGAGCUAACAACACUUUGGCAAAAAUGGCAGUCUAACUUCUCAAACAUACCAGCAUCCUGUUGUCUUUUUUUAAA